GACGAACGCUGGCGGCGUGCUUAACACAUGCAAGUCGAACGAAGUGGCGAACGGGUGAGUAACGCGUAAUCAACCUGCCCUUCAGAGGGGGACAACAGUUGGAAACGACUGCUAAUACCCCAUACUGAAGGAGGGGAUUGCGUCGGAUUGGCUAGUUGGAUGGGUAACGGCCCACCAAGGCGAUGAUCAGUAGCCGGUCUGGGGGGAUGAACGGCCCAAUUGGGACUUGGACAAGGGCCAAGCGCCUUCGGGAAGGAAGAGUGGGGAAUCUUCGGAAAUGGGGGAAAGUCUGACGGAGGAAAGCCGCGUGGGUGAUGGCGGCCUUCGGGUUGUAAAGCUCUGUUAAUCGGGACGCGGUACCGGAAUAGAAAGCCACGGCUAACUACGUGCCAGCAGCCGCGGUAAUUC
rnacentral:rRNA from 1 species